rnacentral:rRNA from 1 species
AUUGAACGCUGGCGGCAUGCCUUACACAUGCAAGUCGGACGGUAACGCGGGGCAACCUGGCGACGAGUGGCGAACGGGUGAGUAAUGCAUCGGAACGUGCCUGGUAGUGGGGGAUAACUGCUCGAAAGAGCAGCUAAUACCGCAUACGACCUGAGGGUGAAAGGGGGGGAUCGCAAGGCCUCUCGCUAUCAGAGCGGCCGAUGUCGGAUUAGCUAGUUGGUGGGGUAAAGGCCCACCAAGGCAACGAUCCGUAGCUGGUCUGAGAGGACGACCAGCCACACUGGGACUGAGACACGGCCCAGACUCCUACGGGAGGCAGCAGUGGGGAAUUUUGGACAAUGGACGCAAGUCUGAUCCAGCCAUGCCGCGUGCGGGAAGAAGGCCUUCGGGUUGUAAACCGCUUUUGUCAGGGAAGAAAUCUUCUGGGCUAAUACCCUGGGAGGAUGACGGUACCUGAAGAAUAAGCACCGGCUAACUACGUGCCAGCCGCCGCAGUAAGAC